GCGGCAAAAGCUCAAAUUUGAAAUCUGGCACCUUCGGUGUCCGAGUUGUAAUUUGAAGAAGGUAACUUUGGAGUUGGCUCUUGUCUAUGUUCCUUGGAACAGGACGUCACAGAGGGUGAGAAUCCCGUGCGAUGAGAUGCCCAAUUCUAUGUAAAGUGCUUUCGAAGAGUCGAGUUGUUUGGGAAUGCAGCUCUAAGUGGGUGGUAAAUUCCAUCUAAAGCUAAAUAUUGGCGAGAGACCGAUAGCGAACAAGUACAGUGAUGGAAAGAUGAAAAGAACUUUGAAAAGAGAGUGAAAAAGUACGUGAAAUUGUUGAAAGGGAAGGGCUUGAGAUCAGACUUGGUAUUUUGCGAUCCUUUCCUUCUUGGUUGGGUUCCUCGCAGCUUACUGGGCCAGCAUCGGUUUGGAUGGUAGGAUAAUGACUAAGGAAUGUGGCUCUACUUCGGUGGAGUGUUAUAGCCUUGGUUGAUACUGCCUGUCUAGACCGAGGACUGCGUCUUUUGACUAGGAUGUUGGCAUAAUGAUCUUAAGCCACCCGUCUUG
rnacentral:rRNA from 1 species